CACGUAGGGGGCUAGCGUUAUCCGGAUUUAUUGGGUUUAAAGGGUGCGCAGGCGGAGGCACAAGUCAGCGGUAAAAUCGCGGGGCUCAACCCCGCUCCGCCGUUGAAACUGUGUCCCUUGAGUGCGCGAAGGGUAGGCGGAAUGCGUGGUGUAGCGGUGAAAUGCAUAGAUAUCACGCAGAACUCCGAUCGCGAAGGCAGCCUACCGGCGCGCAACUGACGCUCAUGCACGAAAGCGUGGGUAUCGAACAGG
rnacentral:rRNA from 1 species